rnacentral:tRNA from 20 species
GGCCCAGUGGCUCAGUUGGUUAGAGCGCCGCCCUGUCACGGCGGAGGUCACGGGUUCGAGUCCCGUCUGGGUCG